GACGAACGCUGGCGGCGUGCUUAACACAUGCAAGUCGAACGGAAAGGCCCUGCUUUUGUGGGGUGCUCGAGUGGCGAACGGGUGAGUAACACGUGAGUCACCUGCCCUUGACUUUGGGAUAACUUCAGGAAACUGGGGCUAAUACCGGAUAGGAGCUCCUGCUGCAUGGUGGGGGUUGGAACGUUUCGGCGGUUGGGGAUGGACUCGCGGCUUAUCAGCUUGUUGGUGGGGUAGUGGCUUACCAAGGCUUUGACGGGUAGCCGGCCUGGGAGGGUGACCGGCCACAAUGGGACUGAGAGACGGCCCAGACUCCUACGGGAGGCAGCAGUGGGGAAUAUUGCACAAUGGGCGGAAGCCUGAUGCAGCAACGCCGCGUGCGGGAUGACGGCCUUCGGGUUGUAAACCGCUUUCGCCUGUGACGAAGCGUGAGUGACGGUAAUGGGUAAAGAAGCACCGGCUAACUACGUG
rnacentral:rRNA from 1 species